CUGAACCUGAAAGAAGUUGAACUCUAAUUGGAAAGGGAAGGCAGUGAGAACAGCAAUAAAGUCUAACUGCGUUUGAAUUACAAUCAGAACAUUGUGACUUUCUCACCCUGUAGAAAGGACUGAACAAAGAAAUAUUGAAGAAUUACGUUUAGCAGCAGCAAGAGAAGGCAAAACAGCACAACUCCUACUCUGGGAAGAAAAUCAUGCUGACUGAACAGAUCACAAUAUCCCACUCCUCAAAGACCUGGAAAUGGAAAACAAAACUUGUGUUUUUCUUUGAUUUAAAGAAAUCUUGUCUCUUAAGCUAUCAACAAUUUGGUAAGAUACACCUUUGUUAACAAAAAUGAAAAAUUCGUAUUUUCUCCCUACCUGAGCCCUCUAGAAUUCAGAAACUCUCAGUAAGUAUUCUUAUUUUCACUUAAUCAGGCCAAUUUUUUAAUAUAAACAGACUAGUUUUACUGUGAUUAUGAUUAUCUUUGGUAAAAAAAAUUGAGGGUAAUUGUAGCAACAAAAAUUAUGUUUGCAUCUUUGUAGAUAUCGGAUUCUAGUCCUAUUAAUUGUCUUUGAGCUUUUGUUAUAUACUGUAGACUGGACUCCCUUGGCCUAAGGCAUUGCCCUUGGUCUCACUGACCGCAGUACCCUCUUUGGAAAACAUAAACUCACUCCACAUGAGACAGUCACCAGCAGAUCAAUGUCUACUGGUACACAACCUUCUGCUGAUCCCUUGUUGUCUUAUGCUGGCAUGACCAGCUCCUGUUAGUUUCUGAUGUCUCAUACUCAAGCCUGUCAUCAACAGAUUAAAGAAGCUUUCCUGGAUUCCAAUAUAAAGCAUCAUGUUGGUCACAGUCUAGAGCCUGGUGACUGGAUAUUCUGGGAGCAUCAUCAGAGAAAGACAAUGGAGAGGGCCUUAUCAAGUGCUCCUAACCACUGACACUGCUGCAGAACUAAAAGGCAUUUAACCUUGAAGAUACAGCUUACAGCUAAAUAAAACUUCCCUGUCAUUUGGUCCUGUACAAGCCCUGGAGGCCUCCAAAACAAACUGACAAGGGAGAGAAGCAAUCAACACCUGAGGCAGACAGCUUUCCCCAGAUGGCCAGACCAGUUUGACGUUGUAAAACCACCAUUUGGAUAGUGAUUCCUCAGCACUUUCAAAUGAUUGCUACGGCUUAUGAGCCUUCAACUGGGAAAUUUCAAGGAACUACAGAUAAUGUUUGCCCUUAAAGGAACUUAAUGGUAAGGCUUUGCUCUGGCACUCUGGAUGCUCAAAUGUGGCCUAAGGCUCCUAAGGAAACGACUUUCCCUCCUACAUGGAACGUGAUAUACCAGGAAUGAGCAUUCUUCAGUAUAUGGGAUCAAUGAUACUUUGAUGGCUGACUAGCAAUGCUUUCCAAUAGUUGAUCAGUAAUGCUUUCAAAUGGUUGAUCAGUGAUGCUUUCAAAGAAAGAUCUCAAUCAAAAGGGGGAAAUGUCAAAAUUGAUUUAAAUGGAGCAAUUUUAAAAUGGAGUUGGAGCUGUCUUUCCAGAGAAACUGCCUUGCUGUCUUGAACCUUGGACUGGGCCAAACCAGCAAUUAUUUUAUGAGCAAUUGUUUGAGAAAUCAGCAGGAGAAGGAACAUCCAAUCAGCGUUUAGCAAAGACUAGCUCUCCGCCUCCAACUCCAAUUAAAAUUCUUUCUAAUACAAUCUCCCUUCUUUGCCUCUGAAAGCCCCUGACUUUUACUCUCCAGCGAGACACUAUUAAGGUUUCUGCCUGAAUUUGUGCUCCCCAUAUUGCAAUUCUUUGAUCC
ensembl:lncRNA